CCUUUGUCCAUGAAUAUGGAUUCAAUUUUAAUUUUGGUUUGUUGCCAAUGGAAUGUGCAUAGUCAAAGGAUAGUGGACCUACAACAAAGUAUGUAUUAAAUAGUCUUUGUUAGUAAAAUACGGAAUGGGAAAAGUACUAAUAAAAUACAUACGUGUUUUAUUAGGCAAAAUUUUGGCAAGAUACAACUAAAAAGUUCGACUACUAUAUAAUAUUUUAAUAUAAUUUAUUUUAAUAUUUUAAUAAAUAUUAUUUUUAGGGUUAAUUUCAGUUUGGUACCUAACUCUCAACCCCACCCCCCACUAUGCAAUGCAUUUCCUUCCAAUUUUCUGUGGCAAAAUAAUAGAUGAAUGACUAAAUAAACUUAUUCUAAAGUUUCAUUAAAAAAUUUCAUGUAUUUAUCACAACUUUCGUGACUUUUAUCCAAUUUUUAUCGAUAUCGAUAUUGAGGCUCUUGGGUUAGUUGCUCUGUAGGUUUACUUGUGUGCUUUGGCGCCCAGACUAACCCAAAAAAGAACAAAAAACAGAGAAAACAGAGCACACCUUUUUUUUUUUUUUUUUUUUUUGUUGAAGGUCUUCCCUAUCUUUUAAAAAGAUUUUCUGAUGGUCUAAUACCAAUGUCAUAAAAUUUUAAAAUAGAAUACCUAAAUUUUCAUAUACAAUGGCAGAGAAGGCAGAACAACCAGGACCUCCAGUGAGCCAAAGCACAAGAGGAUCAUACUCUGGACUCCCUUCAGACUCAAAGAAGUAAUAAAACAGCUGCACAUCAUCCAUGCCGCCCACUCCCAC
rnacentral:lncRNA from 1 species